rnacentral:rRNA from 1 species
CGUGGAUAACCUACCUAUGAGACUGGGAUAACUUCGGGAAACCGGAGCUAAUACCGGAUAAUAUAUUGAACCGCAUGGUUCAAUAGUGAAAGACGGUUUUGCUGUCACUUAUAGAUGGAUCCGCGCCGCAUUAGCUAGUUGGUAAGGUAACGGCUUACCAAGGCAACGAUGCGUAGCCGACCUGAGAGGGUGAUCGGCCACACUGGAACUGAGACACGGUCCAG